GUAGGCCUACGGGGGGCAGCAGUGAGGAAUAUUGGUCAAUGGGAGAGAUCCUGAACCAGCCAAGCCGCGUGAGGGAAGACGGCCCUAUGGGUUGUAAACCUCUUUUGCCGGGGAGCAAAAAGCGGUACGUGUACCGCAUCGAGAGUACCCGGAGAAAAAGCAUCGGCUAACUCCGUGCCAGCAGCCGCGGUAAUACGGAGGAUGCGAGCGUUAUCCGGAUUUAUUGGGUUUAAAGGGUGCGUAGGCGGAAUGCCAAGUCAGCGGUAAAAUCGCGGGGCUCAACCUCGCUCCGCCGUUGAAACUGG
rnacentral:rRNA from 1 species